GCCCACGUAGCUCAGCGGUAGAGCACUUCCUUGGUAAGGAAGAGGUCACCGGUUCAAGUCCGGUCGUGGGCUCCA
rnacentral:tRNA from 3 species